UACGGAGGAGGCAAGCGUUAUCCGGAAUUAUUGGGCGUAAAGCAUCCGCAGGUGGCACUUCAAGUCUGUCGUCAAAGACUGGGGCUUAACCCUGGAAAGGCGGUGGAAACUGAAGCGCUAGAGUGCGGUAGGGGUAGAGGGAAUUCCCGGUGUAGCGGUGAAAUGCGUAGAGAUCGGGAAGAACAUCGGUGGCGAAAGCGCUCUACUGGACCGCAACUGACACUCAGGGACGAAAGCUAGGGGAGCGAAUGGG
rnacentral:rRNA from 1 species